rnacentral:rRNA from 1 species
AGUGAACGCUGGCGGCGUGCCUAACACAUGCAAGUCGAACGAUGAUGGAGAGCUUGCUCUCCUGAUUAGUGGCGCACGGGUGAGUAUACCAUAGAUAAUGUACCUCUUAGUUCGGGAUAGCCACUGGAAACGGUGAUUAAUACCGGAUACUCCUUCUUGUCUUAAGGCAAGUCGGGAAAGUUUUUUCGCUAAGAGAUCAGUCUAUGUCCUAUCAGCUAGUUGGUGAGGUAAUGGCUCACCAAGGCAAUGACGGGUAUCUGGUUUGAGAGGAUGAUCAGACACACUGGAACUGAGACACGGUCCAGACUCCUACGGGAGGCAGCAGUGAGGAAUAUUGCACAAUGGAGGAAACUCUGAUGCAGCAACGCCGCGUGGAGGAUGACGCAUUUCGGUGUGUAAACUCCUUUUAAGAGGGAAGAUAAUGACGGUACCUCUUGAAUAAGCACCGGCUAACUCCGUGCCAGCCGCCGCGGUAA